rnacentral:lncRNA from 10 species
CGAACCGCUUCCCUCCCCUUGUUCAGGUGUGCUUUCGCCAUUACUCCAACCACGAGUCGCACCCUUCUAUAGAAGUAAAAAUUACCUGGCUGAGAAAAUUAAAUUUAUGUUCAAGUGCUAUUUCUCUGCAGCACCAAGGAACAGGCAUUUGUUUCUAACAAUCUCGUGGCCCAUAUGGGGAGCUAUUCUCCUCUAGGGGUGGCCUCUAUUCCUCUCUCACGCCCCACUGCCUUGUUGCGGUGGCCUCAAGAGUCAGGAAUCGAGACUCACCUGGUGUGACAAAUAAACCUGGACUCAGCAAUGUCGAAAGAAACCAGCCGGCGACCCAGGGGAAAGGAUCCUCACACACCACAGUGACCAGGCAACUCUGUGCACAGACCGAGGAAGGAAACGCCUGGGAGCCAGCAAAGUAUUUCCUUGGUGGUUGGGACAGACCAAGAAACUAGCAAUUCCUCUGUAGAACAAGUUAAAUCAGCUGGGGGAAAACAAACAGACAAGCAAGCAGCUCCUGAGUCAAUUAAAAAGGUCUUGGCUGGAAAUUUUGGUCUGCUGCCAGAACAUUUUGGCCCAGAGGAUGGUCACACUCCCAGACCACCACAGCAGCUCUGCGGAUCAUGUUCUGCUCUUCCCCUGAAAAGAGGAUACCUAGGAUGGACAUUAAUUCAGCCCAGGUAUAUAACUGCGGGCCUAAAAACUGAUCAAUUUGAU